UACAGAGGGUGCGAGCGUUAAUCGGAAUUACUGGGCGUAAAGCGCGCGUAGGCGGCUUUGCAAGUCGGGUGUGAAAUCCCCAGGCUUAACCUGGGAACUGCAUUCGAGACUGCAUUGCUAGAGUAUGGGAGAGGGAAGUGGAAUUCCGAGUGUAGAGGUGAAAUUCGUAGAUAUUCGGAGGAACACCAGUGGCGAAGGCGGCUCACUGGUCCAUUACUGACGCUGAGGUGCGAAAGCGUGGGGAGCAAACAGG
rnacentral:rRNA from 1 species